GAGCAGCAUCGUCGGCUGCUCA
rnacentral:misc_RNA from 1 species